rnacentral:lncRNA from 1 species
AAAUUACAAUAAAGGGCUGCGCUUUAGCGCAUGAUACGCCCGUUGCUCUUUUAACUUGUCUUUUAUGCUUUAAAUGUAUUGUCCCAAAAUUGGAAAAUCCCCCCUUUUUUAAGCAUAAAAAUUCAUAACACGGAAAUGUAAAAUCUGAAAUUUAUAAAAGUUGAAAGGGAGCUUACAUCAAUAGAUAUAAACAAUUCACCAAAGUUUCAUGGACAUUGGUGAAAGCCUUUUUGAGUUAUUGUCCGCGAAGUGUUGAAAAUCCCCCCUUUUUUAUGAAUAAAGCCCCAUAAAUCCAAAACUUAAAAUCUGAAAUUAAAAAAAAACAAAAGGGAGCUUACGUCAAUAGAUAUAAACAAUUCACCAAAGUUUCAUGGACAUUGGUGAAAGCCUUUUUGAGUUAUUGUCCGAAGUGUUGAAAAUCCCCCCUUUUUUAUGAAUAAAGCCCCAUAAAUCCAAAACUUAAAAUCUGAAAUUAAAAAAAAACGAAAGGGAGCUUACGUCAAUAGAUAUAAACAAUUCACCAAAGUUUCUUGGAAAUUGGUGAAAGUGUUUUUGAGUUAUUGUCCGAAGUGUGGACGACGGACGGACAGACGGACGGACGGACGGACAGACGGACAGACGGACAACGGUAUACCAUAAUACGUCCCGUCCCGGGCGUAUAAAAAUUGGUCAGCACCUCAUAAGGAACAUGCAUGCUAUGUUGGGUUUCAUUCCAUUCAGUGGUUCUCUAAAAGAAGACUUUUGUAUGCAUUUCCCAUAGGGUCCUA